UCUAAAAGCAGGUAAGCCACUGACUAACGCACAUUGUGCGUGUGACAGAUCCACUGUGCGUGUGACAGCGGCUAACCUGGUUUUGGGAAAACCUCUG
rnacentral:pre_miRNA from 12 species